GUGGACGCCAGUCUGCGUGGAGCCGGCCUUGAAAUACCACCCUUUAAUGUUUGAUGUUCUAACGUGGACCCGUAAUCCGGGUUGCGGACAGUGUCUGGUGGGUAGUUUGACUGGGGCGGUCUCCUCCUAAAGAGUAACGGAGGAGCACGAAGGUUGGCUAAUCCUGGUCGGACAUCAGGAGGUUAGUGCAAUGGCAUAAGCCAGCUUGACUGCGAGCGUGACGGCGCGAGCAGGUGCGAAAGCAGGUCAUAGUGAUCCGGUGGUUCUGAAUGGAAGGGCCAUCGCUCAACGGAUAAAAGGUACUCCGGGGAUAACAGGCUGAUACCGCCCAAGAGUUCAUAUCGACGGCGGUGUUUGGCACCUCGAUGUCGGCUCAUCACAUCCUGGGGCUGAAGUAGGUCCCAAGGGUAUGGCUGUUCGCCAUUUAAAGUGGUACGCGAGCUGGGUUUAGAACGUCGUGAGACAGUUCGGUCCCUAUCUGCCGUGGGCGCUGGAGAACUGAGGGGGGCUGCUCCUAGUACGAGAGGACCGGAGUGGACGCAUCACUGGUGUUCGGGUUGUCAUGCCAAUGGCACUGCCCGGUAGCUAAAUGCGGAAGAGAUAAGUGCUGAAAGCAUCUAAGCACGAAACUUGCCCCG
rnacentral:rRNA from 1 species